rnacentral:tRNA from 1 species
AGGGAUGUAGCUCAGUUGGUAGAGUGCUUGCUUAGUAAGCAUGAAGUCCUGGGUUUGAUUCCACAACACUA